GCAUCUUACGGGGGGCAGCAGUAGGGAAUCUUCCACAAUGGACGAAAGUCUGAUGGAGCAACGCCGCGUGAGUGAAGAAGGGUUUCGGCUCGUAAAGCUCUGUUGGUAGUGAAGAAAGAUAGAGGUAGUAACUGGCCUUUAUUUGACGGUAAUUACUUAGAAAGUCACGGCUAACUACGUGCCAGCAGCCGCGGUAAUACGUAGGUGGCAAGCGUUGUCCGGAAUUAUUGGGCGUAAAGCGAGUGCAGGCGGGUGUAUAAGGUUGAUGUGGAAAACUUUGGCUCAACCGGAGAAUUUCA
rnacentral:rRNA from 1 species